rnacentral:rRNA from 1 species
GACGAACGCUGGCGGCGUGCCUAAUACAUGCAAGUCGAGCGGACGAAUCGAAAGCUUGCUUUUGAUUCGUUAGCGGCGGACGGGUGAGUAACACGUGGGCAACCUGCCCUGUAGACGGGGAUAACACCGAGAAAUCGGUGCUAAUACCGGAUAACACGAAAUGUCGCAUGACGUUUCGUUGAAAGACGGCGCAAGCUGUCGCUACAGGAUGGGCCCGCGGCGCAUUAGCUAGUUGGUGAGGUAACGGCUCACCAAGGCGACGAUGCGUAGCCGACCUGAGAGGGUGAUCGGCCACACUGGGACUGAGACACGGCCCAGACUCCUACGGGAGGCAGCAGUAGGGAAUCUUCCGCAAUGGACGAAAGUCUGACGGAGCAACGCCGCGUGAGCGAAGAAGGCCUUCGGGUCGUAAAGCUCUGUUGUUAGGGAAGAACAAGUAACGCAGUAACUGGCGUUACCGUGACGGUACCUAACGAGAAAGCCACGGCGAACUACGU